UAGGGGAUAUUGGUAAAUGGGCGAAAGCCUGACCCAGCAACGCCGCGUGCGCGAAGAAGGCCUUCGGGUUGUAAAGCGCUUUUCUGAGGGAUGAGGAAGGACAGUACCUGAGGAAUAAGUCUCGGCUAACUACGUGCCAGCAGCCGCGGUAAGACGUAGGAGACGAGCGUUAUCCGGAUUUACUGGGCGUAAAGCGCGUGCAGGCGGCUCGUUAAGUUGGAUGUGAAAGCCCCUGGCUAAACUAGGGGAGGUCGUUCAAGACUGGCGGGCUAGAGGGCAGCAGAGGAGAGUGGAAUUCCGGGGGUAGCGGUAAAAUGCACAGAUAUUCGGAAGAACACCAGAGGCGAAGGCGGCGCGCGGGGGUGCAACUGACGCUCAGACGCGAAAGCUAGGGG
rnacentral:rRNA from 1 species